rnacentral:rRNA from 1 species
GAUGAACGCUGGCGGCGUGCUUAACACAUGCAAGUCGAACGGUGAAGCAGAGCUUGCUCUGUGGAUCAGUGGCGAACGGGUGAGUAACACGUGAGCAACCUGCCCUGGACUCUGGGAUAAGCGCUGGAAACGGCGUCUAAUACUGGAUACGAGACGUGGCCGCAUGGUCAACGUUUGGAAAGAUUUUUUGGUUCAGGAUGGGCUCGCGGCCUAUCAGCUUGUUGGUGAGGUAAUGGCUCACCAAGGGGUCGACGGGUAGCCGGCCUGGGAGGGUGACCGGCCAAAGUGGGACUGAGACACGGCCCAGACUCCUACGGGAGGCAGCAGUGGGGAAUAGUGCACAAUGGGCGAAAGCCUGAUGCAGCAACGCCGCGUGAGGGAUGACGGCCUUCGGGUUGUAAACCUCUUUUAGCAAGGAAGAAGCGAAAGUGACGGUACUUGCAGAAAAAGCGCCGGCUAACUACGUGCCAGCCGCCGCGGUAACAC